GAGCCCAAGUUAAGAUAUGCACAUGAAACAUUCAUGAUUUGUAGCAUCAGGUUUACUUGCAUUUUCAUUGACUGAAACUUCUUGCAUUACUCAGUUAGUGAAUUUAAAUUGCAGUAGACAAAAUUCAUUAGCCUGCUGAAUUUAAAUUGCAGUAGGAGGAGCACGCCGAGGGUGACGACAAGGGAGAAGAUCCAGCAGCAGCUGUGGCAGUUACUCGGAUGUCAUGUUUAAAUACAUUCCAAGUUUCUACUGUCAAUACUCCUACUUCUACUAUUAACAUUCCUACUACUUCUGAAGGUAUUUCCUAUUGCUACUGACACUUACUUCCUCUUGCUACUGACAUCAUUUGCUGAACAUUAUUUGAAGAACAUGGAGUACAUUGUUUUGUACUAUUAUUGACAUUAUUUGAACACAUUACUUACUCCAUGUCGGAUGGUAGCGUCCGUAGGCAACAAAAAGUUUGAGGUGUGCAGGUAUUAGCUGCACGUGGAUGUGAACGAGCAGCUGGAUGGGUGUGUCCUUUCCAGUUGUCCUGUACAAGAUAUUGAUCAGGGAUCUGGGGCUCUGGAUGAUCGGAGGUGGUGCAGGAGACAAGGAUAGAAUC